ensembl:lncRNA
GGAGUUGGCCGUGACCCCUCGGGGAAGAUGCUGUGACAGCGGGGCAGGCAGGUCAGAUUGAGACGCCUUCAGGCUCCCCCCUGACCAGCAUCAAUGAUCAGCACAGAAAGGUCAGGUCAUUGCCCGGAAGGAGGAACCAUGGCGACCCAGUGCACAGUGGCCCAAAGCACACUCUCAUUCCCAACCAAUUUCACCGGUUACUUCGUCUGAAGAGGCGCACUGCCAGGCUGCGUGGAAUAUCAUUGAGCUGUGAGGCGAGAUGGAGCAAGGAGGGAAGACGCCCGCGAUUUUUCGCCACUUCUGCAAACACCUCGCCUGGAAGCUGUUACUUUAAGUGCAGCUUGUUACGCAAAGAGAAAUCAAGCAACGGCUCACCUAGAUGGAAGCCGGGUGAGGAAAUUGGCGGGAAGCGGCGAGCGUAGCAUCCUGUGGGCGCUGUGGUGUGAGGAGGAGGUCACCGGAGCUUCCCGUGGGAGACUGUGUCCCGUGCUGCGCCGCCACACAGCAGCCAGAGCGGCCAAAUCACCCGAACCAACAGCAGGAUUACGGAGAAAUUGGCCUUUAGCAUGGUGGAGGCGGCCAUGUGAGAAAAUGUAACUCCACAAUCAUCCGGCAUUUAUCCCUCGCUCCCCCUUCCUGCCCAUCUCCAUCCCUCAAUUUUUCUCUCGGCCGACUGUCCUUUCUUUUUUUGCGCCCGUGUACACAGAGC